rnacentral:rRNA from 1 species
GGCUCAGGAUGAACGCUAGCUACAGGCUUUAACACAUGCAAGUCGAGGGGAAACGAUAUUGGAAGCUUGCUUCGAUAGGCGUCGACCGGCGCACGGGUGAGUAACGCGUAUCCAACCUGCCCAUCACUUGGGGAUAACCUUGCGAAAGUAAGACUAAUACCCAAUGACGUCUCUAGAAGACAUCUGAAGGAGAUUAAAGAUUUAUCGGUGAUGGAUGGGGAUGCGUCUGAUUAGCUUGUUGGCGGGGUAACGGCCCACCAAGGCGACGAUCAGUAGGGGUUCUGAGAGGAAGGUCCCCCACAUUGGAACUGAGACACGGUCCAAACUCCUACGGGAGGCAGCAGUGAGGAAUAUUGGUCAAUGGGCGAGAGCCUGAACCAGCCAAGUAGCGUGCAGGAUGACGGCCCUAUGGGUUGUAAACUGCUUUUAUAAGGGAAUAAAGUGGGAGUCGUGACUCUUUUGCAUGUACCUUAUGAAUAAGGACCGGCUAAUUCCGUG